GACGAACGCUGGCGGCGUGCUUAACACAUGCAAGUCGAACGGAAAGGCCCUGCUUUUGUGGGGUGCUCGAGUGGCGAACGGGUGAGUAACACGUGAGUAACCUGCCCUUUACUUUGGGAUAACUUCAGGAAACUGGGGCUAAUACCGGAUAGGAGCUCCUGCUGCAUGGUGGGGGUUGGAAAGUUUCGGCGGUUGGGGAUGGACUCGCGGCUUAUCAGCUUGUUGGUGGGGUAGUGGCUUACCAAGGCUUUGACGGGUAGCCGGCCUGAGAGGGUGACCGGCCACAUGGGGACUGAGAUACGGCCCAGACUCCUACGGGAGGCAGCAGUGGGGAAUAUUGCACAAUGGGCGGAAGCGUGAUGCAGCAACGCCGCGUGCGGGAUGACGGCCUUCGGGUUGUAAACCGCUUUCGCCUGUGACGAAGCGUGAGUGACGGUAAUGGGUAAAGAAGCACCGGCUAACUACGUG
rnacentral:rRNA from 1 species